UUUCGAUGACAUAAAAGUUAGCUUAUAUUUGUAUGGAAUGGGAUCGUUUGCCUACGUUUGCCGCUAAAGGCGCUGUUCCAACUCCAUACAAAUUUGAGCUAACUUUUACGCUAUCGA
rnacentral:pre_miRNA from 9 species